CUACGGGUGGCUGCAGUUAGGAAUAAUCUACAAUGCGCGCAAGCGUGUUAGUUUGAGUCAGAGUGCGUUUCAAUUUGGAAUGCUUUUGUGUACUCUAAAAAGGUACACGAAUAAGGACUGGGUAAGACGAGUGCCAGCCGCCGCGGUAAUACUCGCGGUCCAAGUCGCAGCCAUUUUUAUUGGGUCUAAAACAUCCGUAGCUUGCUUCUUAAGUUCCCUGUGAAAUUUCAUAUCGCAAAUAUGGAGCGGGCAGUGAGUACUGGGAAGCUAGAGACUGGAAGACGGAACGAGUAAGUUUAAAGUAGCGGUAAAAUGUGUUAAUCUUAAGCGGACUAACAAUGGCGAAGGCACGCUUCGAGGACAGUUCUGACAGUAAGGGAUGAAGGCUAGGGGCGCAAAACGGAUUAGAUACCCGGGUAGUC
rnacentral:rRNA from 1 species